rnacentral:rRNA from 1 species
GUAAGCAGCCAUAUCACCCUGCAGCUCUCAACUAGCCAUGCACUGAAGCUAAGCAGAGUUAAGCUUGGUCAGUAUCUAGAUGAGAGGCCUUCUGGGAAACCUUGUUUGCUGUUAGUG